rnacentral:rRNA from 1 species
GACGAACGCUGGCGGCGUGCCUAAUACAUGCAAGUAGAACGCACAGUUUAUACCGUAGCUUGCUACACCAUAGACUGUGAGUUGCGAACGGGUGAGUAACGCGUAGGUAACCUGCCUGGUAGCGGGGGAUAACUAUUGGAAACGAUAGCUAAUACCGCAUAAUAUUGAUUAUUGCAUGAUAAUUGAUUGAAAGAUGCUAUUGCAUCACUACCAGAUGGACCUGCGUUGUAUUAGCUAGUAGGUGAGGUAACGGCUCACCUAGGCGACGAUACAUAGCCGACCUGAGAGGGUGAUCGGCCACACUGGGACUGAGACACGGCCCAGACUCCUACGGGGGGCAGCAGUAGGGAAUCUUCGGCAAUGGACGAAAGUCUGACCGAGCAACGCCGCGGGAGUGAAGAAGGUUUUCGGAUCGUAAAGCCCUGUUGUAAGAGAAGAACGGGUGUGAGAGUGGAAAGUUCACACUGUGACGGUAUCUUACCAGAAAGGGACGGCUAACUACGUG